rnacentral:rRNA from 1 species
UACGGGGGGGUAAGCGUUGUUCGGAAUUACUGGGCGUAAAGGGCUCGUAGGCGGCCAACUAAGUCAGACGUGAAAUCCCUCAGCUUAACUGGGGAACUGCGUCUGAUACUGGAUGGCUUGGAUUCGGGAGAGGAAUGCGGAAUUCCAGGUGUAGCGGUGAAAUGCGCAGAUAUCGGGAGGAACACCUAUGGCGAAGGCAGCUCGCUGGGACGUUACUGACGCUGAGACGCGAAAGCGUGGGGAGCAAACAGG